rnacentral:rRNA from 1 species
GACGAACGCUGGCGGCGUGCCUAAUACAUGCAAGUAGAACGCUGAAGGAGGAGCUUGCUUCUCCGGAUGAGUUGCGAACGGGUGAGUAACGCGUAGGUAACCUGCCUGGUAGCGGGGGAUAACUAUUGGAAACGAUAGCUAAUACCGCAUAACAGUAGAUAUCGCAUGAUAGCUGCUUGAAAGGUGCAAUUGCACCACUACCAGAUGGACCUGCGUUGUAUUAGCUAGUUGGUGAGGUAACGGCUCACCAAGGCAACGAUACAUAGCCGACCUGAGAGGGUGAUCGGCCACACUGGGACUGAGACACGGCCCAGACUCCUACGGGAGGCAGCAGUAGGGAAUCUUCGGCAAUGGACGGAAGUCUGACCGAGCAACGCCGCGUGGGUGAAGAAGGUUUUCGGAUCGUAAAGCUCUGUUGUAAGAGAGAACGAGUGUGAGAGUGGAAAGUUCACACUGUGACGGU